GCUGUCGCCAUCAAAGCCAUGGCUAAAUAAAGGAACCACAGGCAACAGCCGCAGCCGCAACAAACUUGUAAUGAACCAGAGAGGAAUCGCAACCCACAAAAAGACUGUCAGAUUGGGCUCCAAACCACUCAAAAUCUUGGGUUUUUUUUCUUUGUCGUCUUCUCUUUCUCCUUCCCUUCCUUUGAAACGAAACAAACAACCCCCCUUCCCUCCCCCUCCCUUUGAAUCCUCUCUGUUCCUCCCUUCUGAAUUAAAAGAAAACCAAGCUUUUUAUUUUGUGGUCUUUUAAAAAAAAGGAAAAACGAACACAUACCGAGGCAAGAAAAUAAAAUAAAAAUCCCUCCCUUCCUUCCCCAAUUCCCCCCCUCCCAAGAGCUGGAUGCUGAUGUCAUCCUCAUCAUAUCCAUCAUUUUUUUUCCCUUGUUUUGACCCCUUCCUCUGCCCUGCUUCGUUCCCCCCAUCCCUUCCUCCUCUUUCUCCGUGGUGCUUAGUCACACUACAACCAUUUAUUUUUGUGUGUGUGUGUGUUCCUGGCAAA